GCGGCCUAUCAGCUUGUUGGUAGGGUAAUGGCCUACCAAGGCAACGACGGGUAGCUGGUCUGAGAGGAUGAUCAGCCACACUGGGACUGAGACACGGCCCAGACUCCUACGGGAGGCAGCAGUGGGGAAUCUUGCGCAAUGGGCGAAAGCCUGACGCAGCAACGCCGCGUGCGGGAUGAAGGCCUUCGGGUUGUAAACCGCUUUCAGCAGGAACGAAAAUGACGGUACCUGCAGAAGAAGGAGCGGCCAACUACGUGCCAGCAGCCGCGGUGACACGUAGGCUCCAAGCGUUGUCCGGAUUUAUUGGGCGUAAAGAGCUCGUAGGCGGUUUAGUAAGUCGGGUGUUAAAACUCUGGGCUCAACCCGGAGACGCCAUCCGAUACUACUAUGACUUGAGUUCAGGAGGGGAGACUGGAAUUCCU
rnacentral:rRNA from 1 species